rnacentral:rRNA from 1 species
AUUGAACGCUGGCGGCAUGCCUUACACAUGCAAGUCGAACGGUAACAGGUUAAGCUGACGAGUGGCGAACGGGUGAGUAAUGUAUCGGAACGUGCCCAGUCGUGGGGGAUAACUGCUCGAAAGAGCAGCUAAUACCGCAUACGACCUGAGGGUGAAAGCGGGGGAUCGCAAGACCUCGCGCGAUUGGAGCGGCCGAUAUCAGAUUAGGUAGUUGGUGAGGUAAAGGCUGACCAAGCCGACGAUCUGUAGCUGGUCUGAGAGGACGACCAGCCACACUGGGACUGGGACACGGCCCAGACUCCUACGGGAGGCAGCAGUGGGGAAUUUUGGACAAUGGGCGCAAGCCUGAUCCAGCCAUGCCGCGUGCGGGAAGAAGGCCUUCGGGUUGUAAACCGCUUUUGUCAGGGAAGAAAAGGUUCUGGCUAAUACCUGGGACUCAUGACGGUACCUGAAGAAUAAGCACCGGCUAACUACGUG